CCUACGGGAGGCAGCAGUGGGGAAUAUUGCACAAUGGGCGAAAGCCUGAUGCAGCGACGCCGCGUGGGGGAUGACGGCCUUCGGGUUGUAAACCUCUUUCGCCAGGGACGAAGCGAGAGUGACGGUACCUGGAGAAGAAGCACCGGCUAACUACGUGCCAGCAGCCGCGGUAAU
rnacentral:rRNA from 1 species